GAUGAACGCUAGCGGCAGGCUUAACACAUGCAAGUCGAACGGCAGCACAGGUAGCAAUACUGGGUGGCGAGUGGCGCACGGGUGCGUAACGCGUAUGCAACCUACCUCUAUCUGGGAGAUAGCCCGAAGAAAUUCGGAUUAAUACCCCAUAAUAUAUGUCUUUCGCAUGUUAGACAUAUUAAAGCUUUGGCGGAUAGAGAUGGGCAUGCGUGACAUUAGCUAGUUGGUAAGGUAACGGCUUACCAAGGCUACGAUGUCUAGGGGGUCUGAGAGGAUUAUCCCCCACACUGGUACUGAGACACGGACCAGACUCCUACGGGAGGCAGCAGUGAGGAAUAUUGGACAAUGGGCGAAAGCCUGAUCCAGCCAUGCCGCGUGCAGGAAGUACGGCCCUAUGGGUUGUAAACUGCUUUUAUAUGGGGAAUAAAACCUCCGAAGUGUUCGGAGCU
rnacentral:rRNA from 1 species